rnacentral:rRNA from 1 species
UGAGAUGGACCCGCGGCGCAUUAGCUAGUUGGUGAGGUAACGGCUCACCAAGGCGACGAUGCGUAGCCGACCUGAGAGGGUGAUCGGCCACAUUGGAACUGAGAAACGGUCCAGACUCCUACGGGAGGCAGCAGUGGGGAAUAUUGCACAAUGGGCGAAAGCCUGAUGCAGCAACGCCGCGUGAGUGAUGAAGGCCUUCGGGUUGUAGAGCUCUGUCUUUGGGGACGAUAAUGACGGUACCCAAGGAGGAAGCCACGGCUAACUACGUGCCAGCAGCCGCGGUAAUACGUAGGUGGCAAGCGUUGUCCGGAUUUACUGGGCGUAAAGGAUGCGUAGGUGGAUAUUUAAGUCAGAUGUGAAAUACCCGAGCUUAACUUGGGUGCUGCAUUUGAAACUGGAUAUCUAGAGUGCAGGAGAGGUAAGUGGAAUUCCUAGUGUAGCGGUGAAAUGCGUAGAGAUUAGGAAGAACACCAGUGGCGAAGGCGACUUACUGGACUGUAACUGACACUGAGGCAUGAAAGCGUGGGGAGCAAACAGGAUUAGAUACCCUGGUAGUCCACGCCGUAAACGAUGAGUACUAGGUGUAGGAGGUAUCGACUCCUUCUGUGCCGCAGUUAACACAAUAAGUACUCCGCCUGGGAAGUACGGUCGCAAGAUUA